rnacentral:rRNA from 1 species
GCCGCGUGAGCGAUGAAGGCCUUCGGGUCGUAAAGCUCUGUUGUUAGGGAAGAAGAAGUAUCGGAGUAACUGCCGGUACCUUGACGGUACCUAACCAGAAAGCCACGGCUAACUACGUGCCAGCAGCCGCGGUAAUACGUAGGUGGCAAGCGUUGUCCGGAAUUAUUGGGCGUAAAGCGCGCGCAGGCGGUCCUUUAAGUCUGAUGUGAAAGCCCACGGCUCAACCGUGGAGGGCCAUUGGAAACUGGGGGACUUGAGUGCAGAAGAGGAAAGCGGAAUUCCACGUGUAGCGGUGAAAUGCGUAGAGAUGUGGAGGAACACCAGUGGCGAAGGCGACUCUUUGGUCUGUAACUGACGCUGAGGCGCGAAAGCGUGGGGAGCGAACAGGAUUAGAUACCCUGGUAGUCCACGCCGUAAACGAUGAGUGCUAAGUGUUAGAGGGUUUCCGCCCUUUAGUGCUGCAGCAAACGCAUUAAGCACUCCGCCUGGGGAGUACGGCCGCAAGGCUGAAACUCAAAGGAAUUGACGGGGGCCCGCACAAGCGGUGGAGCAUGUGGUUUAAUUCGAAGCAACGCGAAGAACCUUACCAGGUCUUGACAUCCUCUGACCCUCCUAGAGAUAGGACUUUCCCCUUCGGGGGACAGAGUGACAGGUGGUGCAUGGUUGUCGUCAGCUCGUGUCGUGAGAUGUUGGGUUAAGUCCCGCAACGAGCGCAACCCUUG